rnacentral:lncRNA from 1 species
UUGAAGAACUUUGAGAUUAAUAUAUACCUUGUUCUGCUGAAGUUUGGAACUCAAAACGAACACUCUGUAUUUUAGAAUUAGCAAUUGAAGGUUGUGGUUUUAAAACUGAUUCGUUUGAGUUAAUUUAUAGGCGAAUUGCUGCGACAAUGGAAUUUAUGAAUGUGGAAUUUUUGUGAGUGAAAAUCGGCUGCGCCUGAACAAAUAAGAUUUGCUGCGGCUGUAUCUGUAUCUUUGAAAAAAUGAGAUUUGCUGUUGAAAACUGAGAUUUUGGU